UUCAGAGGACCUGAGAAAGGAGCUUUCAUGUCUGAAAAAGAUUCUUGAGAAGAUCACUCAGUGAGACAUCAUGACAUUGACAUCAGGUCGUGAAGCUCCAGUUCUCACCCUACAGCCCCCUGAGCCUCGGCGCAGAGACAAGUUUUUACAAUAUUUCUGUCCACUCACACUGGACCUCAACAUGGCACACAAAGACCUCCAUCUGUCUGAAUGGAACAAGAAGGU